AUUGAACGCUAGCGGGAUGCUUUACACAUGCAAGUCGAACGAGCGGCGGCCGGGUGAGUAAUAUCUCGGAACGUGCCCAGUAGCGGGGGAUAACUACUGGAAAGAGUGGCUAAUACCGCAUACCAUCGGAGCGGCCGAUAUGGGAUUAGCUAGUUGGGGGGGUAAAGGCUCACCUAGGCAACGAUCCGUAGCUGGUUUGAGAGGACGACCAGCCACACUGGGACUGAGACACGGCCCAGACUCCUACGGGAGGCAGCAGUGGGGAAUUUUGGACAAUGGGGGAAACCCUGAUCCAGCCAUCCCGCGUGUAUGAGAAGGCCUUCGGGUUGUAAAGUACUUUUGGCAGGGAAGCGGUAUCUGCAGAAUAAGCACCGGCUAACUACGUGCCAGCCGCCGCGGUAAUAC
rnacentral:rRNA from 1 species